AAAAAACAAGAUAAAAUGACGUCGUUUUUAUCUCGCUUUAA
rnacentral:sRNA from 1 species